CGUAGGCGGUAAUUUAAGUCGGAUGUGAAAGCCCUGGGCUCAACCUGGGAACUGCACUCGAUACUGGGUAACUAGAGUACGAGAGAGGGAGGUAGAAUUCCACGUGUAGCGGUGAAAUGCGUAGAUAUGUGGAGGAAUACCGGUGGCGAAGGCGGCCUCCUGGCUCGAUACUGACGCUGAGGUGCGAAAGCGUGGGGAGCAAACA
rnacentral:rRNA from 1 species